AUUGAACGCUGGCGGAAGGCCUAACACAUGCAAGUCGAACGGUAACAGGAAGAAGCUUGCUUCUUUGCUGACGAGUGGCGGACGGGUGAGUAAUGUCUGGGAAACUGCCUGAUGGAGGGGGAUAACUACUGGAAACGGUAGCUAAUACCGCAUAACGUCGCAAGACCAAAGAGGGGGACCUUCGGGCCUCUUGCCAUCGGAUGUGCCCAGAUGGGAUUAGCUAGUAGGUGGGGUAACGGCUCACCUAGGCGACGAUCCCUAGCUGGUCUGAGAGGAUGACCAGCCACACUGGAACUGAGACACGGUCCAGACUCCUACGGGAGGCAGCAGUGGGGAAUAUUGCACAAAGGGCGCAAGCCUGAUGCAGCCAUGCCGCGUGUAUGAAGAAGGCCUUCGGGUUGUAAAGUACUUUCAGCGGGGAGGAAGGGAGUAAAGUUAAUACCUUUGCUCAUUGACGUUACCCGCAGAAGAAGCACCGGCUAACUCCGUG
rnacentral:rRNA from 1 species